UCCCAAAGAAAAGCCUCUAUUUUGGGGGCUUUUUAUUGGGUGAAUUGAUUAGCAGCGGCCAGACAACCGUAGGGAUGUGGUAUCCACAGACGACGGGUUCAAUUCAGUCCCGAUUUUGUCUACUAACUCCAUCUCAUAUUU
rnacentral:snoRNA from 1 species